AAAGAAAACAUGUUUCAAUAUACGAAUUUAACCAAAUAAUAUUAUUUAAUUUGCUCUGUUUUGGAUGGCUGGAUUUUUUAUCUGCAUGUGAGCAUUGUGCAAUGUGCAAUGCACACUGCACUACUUCUCCGCCAAUGGCAGCAGGACGCGUUAUCAGGGAGGCAGGAAGGGGAGGGCAGCACGCGGGAGACUGGCCCACGGUAUAUAAGGUGCAGCCGAACGACCGUACAACAUUAUUUGUAAACGUUCGGGGAGGGGGGUUAUUAGUUCGGCAGUUCUUUGUUUUGUUUUUGCUCGGCCAGAAGAUCGAUUGCAAGCCAGCAUUCUGACAUGGACAAAGUCUAGCUGAACUGUGGACGGACGGCGGCCACCGACCAUCACGGCUGCCUGAAGUCCAGCACCAGCGACAUGCUCUGCCGCUCGGGAGGCGUCAGCAGAGGCAGCGCGGUGCUGACGUCAUCGGAGGACCGAGGACCAGCAUCGCGCCGCCAUGGCUGACGGCCGACUGCAGCCCACAACACCAGGGUGCAGGGAGGGGGGGGGGAGGAGUGGGGUCAGCGUGUUCGACCGCUUUUGACUUUUGUGAAGAAAUUGUAUGUGUUGGCCUUUUGACUUCAAGAAAAAAAUUGCGGCUUUCGUUUGAUUUCGUUUGCUUGUCCAAUAAAGACUCAAAAAUG